CUAGUACUCCCUCCAUCUGGAAAUACUUGUCACAAAAAUAGAUAAAAUGGAUGUAUCUAGAAUUAAAAUAUGUCUAGAUACAUCCAUCUCUUCGACAAGUAUUUCCGGACGGACGAAGGGAGUAUGUC
rfam:Triticum aestivum genome assembly, contig: Triticum_aestivum_CS42_TGACv1_scaffold_640860_T_5BL-0.242238_3B-0.167434